rnacentral:rRNA from 1 species
UACGAAGGGGGCUAGCGUUGUUCGGAAUUACUGGGCGUAAAGCGCACGUAGGCGGAUCGUUAAGUCAGGGGUGAAAUCCUGGAGCUCAACUCCAGAACUGCCUUUGAUACUGGCGACCUUGAGUUCGGGAGAGGUGAGUGGAACUGCGAGUGUAGAGGUGAAAUUCGUAGAUAUUCGCAAGAACACCAGUGGCGAAGGCGGCUCACUGGCCCGAUACUGACGCUGAGGCACGAAAGCGUGGGGAGCAAACAGG